UACGUAGGGUGCGAGCGUUAAUCGGAAUUACUGGGCGUAAAGUGUGCGCAGGCGGCAGAGCAAGUCGAGUGUGAAAGCCCCGGGCUUAACUUGGGAAUUGCGCUCGAAACUACUUUGCUGGAGUGUGGCAGAGGGGGGUGGAAUUCCACGUGUAGCAGUGAAAUGCGUAGAUAUACGGAGGAACACCAGAGGCGAAGGCGGAUCGCUGGGCCAACACUGACGCUGAGACGCGAAAGCUAGGGUAGCAAACGGG
rnacentral:rRNA from 1 species